GAAGCAGCUAGAGAUAGCUGUGUCCUUCGGGACAAGGAGACAGGUGGUGCAUGGUUGUCGUCAGCUCGUGUCGUGAGAUGUGGGUUAAGUCCCGCAACGAGCGCAACCCCUGUGGUUAGUUGCCAUCAUUGAUUGGGCACUCUAAAGAGACUGCCGGUGUCAAACCCGGAGGGAAGGUGGGGAUGACGUCAAGUCCUCAUGGCCUUUAUGACCAGGGCUACACACGUACUACAAUGGCCGGUACAAAGGGCAGCGACACAGCGAUGUGAAGCCAAUCCCGAAAAGCCGGUCUCAGUCCGGAUUGGAGUCUGCAACUCGACUCCAUGAAGUUGGAAUCGCUAGUAAUCGCGGAUCAGCACGCCGCGGUGAAUACGUUCCCGGGCCUU
rnacentral:rRNA from 1 species